AACGAACGCUGGCGGCAGGCCUAACACAUGCAAGUCGAACGCAUCCUUCGGGGUGAGUGGCAGACGGGUGAGUAACGCGUGGGAACGUGCCCUUCAGUUCGGGAUAACCCAGGGAAACUUGGGCUAAUACCGGAUACGUGCGAGAGCAGAAAGAUUUAUCGCUGAAGGAUCGGCCCGCGUCUGAUUAGCUAGUUGGUGGGGUAAUGGCCCACCAAGGCGACGAUCAGUAGCUGGUCUGAGAGGAUGAUCAGCCACAUUGGGACUGAGACACGGCCCAAACUCCUACGGGAGGCAGCAGUGGGGAGUAUUGGACAAUGGGCGCAAGCCUGAUCCAGCCAUGCCGCGUGAGUGAUGAAGGCCUUAGGGUUGUAAAGCUCUUUCGUCCGGGACGAUAAUGACGGUACCGGAAGAAGAAGCCCCGGCUAACUUCGUGCCAGCCGCCGCGGUAA
rnacentral:rRNA from 1 species